ACGAACGCUGGCGGCGUGCUUAACACAUGCAAGUCGAACGGAAAGGCCUGCUUUCCCUUGUGGAUUGCGGGUACUCGGGUGGCGAACGGGCGAGUAACACGUGAGUGAUCUGCCCCCAACUUGGGUAUAAGCCUGGGAAACUGGGUCUAAUUCCCGAUAGGACUGCAGGGUGGUGCCUGUGGUGGAAAACGAUUUUCUAGUGGUUGGGGAUGAGCUCGCGGCCUAUCAGCUUGUUGGUGGGGUAAUGGCCUACCAAGGCGGCGACGGGUAGCCGGCCUGAGAGGGUGGACGGCCACAUUGGGACUGAGAUACGGCCCAGACUCCUACGGGAGGCAGCAGUGGGGAAUAUUGCACAAUGGGCGGAAGCCUGAUGCAGCGACGCCGCGUGGGGGAUGACGGCCUUCGGGUUGUAAACUCCUUUCGACCGCGAGGAAGCCACCUGGUUGGAAGGGUGGUGACGGUAGUGGUAGAAGAAGCACCGGCUAACUACGUG
rnacentral:rRNA from 1 species